rnacentral:tmRNA from 1 species
GGGGGCGAAAGGUAUCGAUUGGAUAUAGAAAAUUACAUUAGCAAGUAGUAGGUGGUAUGGUGGCUACUAUAAAACCAUACUAAACGCUUUAACUGGCGCAAAUCAGUUAGCCCUUGCUGCUUAAUAACUAAGCAGUAACAGAUUGCGAUUGCGAUGAAGGUAGCGGUCAAAAAUCUGUCGUUAAAUCCUUCGGCUCCCGUUAGUGGUGACGGUUAACGGGCCAAGAUGUGUCACUAGGAAUGGUGAAUGUUGUUCAUUCUUUAUCCAUAUCCGAAUCUUUAUGAAUGAAAUAAACUUGUAGAAAAUGUAAUUAGAAAUAUCGCAAGACGGGGCUUCGAUGCCCCCGCCUCCACUG